GAUUUCAACUGAAAAAGUCAUCAACAUCAAAGUUGUAUAACUCAUCAAGAUCUAUAAAUUUUAUUUGUGUCAUUUCUUCAUCCGGCAAAGUAAUUUGUAACAUUGCUCAUAAAAUGUAAAUAUCUCUUAUAUAGUUUAUAAACUAUAAGAGAGAUGUAAAUUUUGUGAACAAUAUUACUAUUAUUUUACCAGAUGAAGAAAUGACCCAAAUAAAAGUUAUAGACAUUGACGAGUUAUACAACUUUGAUGUUGAUGACUUUUUCAGUUGAAAUC
rnacentral:pre_miRNA from 1 species